rnacentral:rRNA from 1 species
CCUACGGGAGGCAGCAGUGGGGAAUAUUGCACAAUGGGGGAAACCCUGAUGCAGCAACGCCGCGUGAGUGAAGAAGUAUCUCGGUAUGUAAAGCUCUAUCAGCAGGGAAGAAAAUGACGGUACCUGACUAAGAAGCCCCGGCUAACUACGUUCCAGCAGCCGCGGUAAUACGUAGGGGGCAAGCGUUAUCCGGAUUUACUGGGUGUAAAGGGAGCGUAGACGGGAUGGCAAGUCUGAAGUGAAAGCCCGGGGCUCAACACCGGGACUGCUUGUGAAACUGUCAUGCUGGAGUGAGGGAGAGGUAAGCGGAAUGCCUAGUGUAGCGGUGAAAUGCGUAGAUAUUAGGAGGAACACCAGUGGCGAAGGCGGCUUACUGGACAGUAACUGACGUUGAGGCUCGAAAGCGUGGGGAGCAAACAGGAUUAGAUACCCCUGUAGUC